rnacentral:rRNA from 1 species
UACAGAGGUCUCAAGCGUUUGUUCGGAUUCAUUGGGCGUAAAGGGUGCGUAGGCGGCGCGGUAAGUCGGGUGUGAAAUCUUGGAGCUUAACUCCGAAACUGCAUUCGAUACUGCCGUGCUUGAGGACUGGAGAGGAGACUGGAAUUUACGGUGUAGCGGUGAAAUGCGUAGAUAUCGUAAGGAAGACCAGUGGCGAAGGCGGGUCUCUGGACAGUUCCUGA